ACACUGUGGGUGAUCAAAAGGUAAACUGGCCAAUGCAGGGAUUUCUGAAAUGAUGUUUUGUUCAGCAUGGAAAACUAUUCAAUUGAAAAGAAAUGGGAUUUUAGGUCUGUCUUUCUGGCAGUCUAACUUGUAUUUCUUCUGACUUCUUAACAGGCAUUUAAGGAAAAACUUGAAUUGUGAAUGUGAUAGCUAUAUAGAGAAGCAUUCCCUGGACACAAAAUAAAUUAAAAAAAUAAAAACUUGUGGCCAGAGAGUAGGGAAAGUAUUGAGCUUGAUAGCUAGCUAUGGCAGAUUGAGUGGGCAGCAAUUCAGACAGCAGGUCCAUGCCUGCAGCCUGUAUUUGGAAACAUGAAAUGUAAUUCAAGCAGUUAGAAAACCUUCUCACUUCCUACACCGUUGGUGCUGGACAGAGAUGACCUCAGAAUCCAUCUUUGGUUUGCAAGUAGCCCUGUGGUCUCUGUAUGGCUGAGUAAAGCUUGUCAUGUUUUUACAGGAUCCCAUCAAUUAAAGAAAAACCCUAAAAUAUGUUUUCUGUAGCAAUGCUUUUGGACAGCUUAGCCCAGCAGAACUCAUUUCAUACCAUUGGCGUUGAACAGAUUGACAGCCUGCAUGGAAUGGGGACUAAAAUAAAGCUCUCGCGCCUUUUCACUGGAAGAUCCAAAUCCAAAGUUUGCAGCUGGGCAUGGUCCUGAGCUGAGUGCUUGAAUGGGAGAUGGCAGGAGAAGCAUUCCUUGCCUUCCUGCUCAGUGACUCAUUUGCACCAAAAGGAAGAAUAAAGCCUGGUCUGUUGUUCCAAAAAAGCAUCUUCCACAAAGCCACAGCUUCCACCAGUUCCAGCCCUGCAGAAGUAAUCACUUUACAGAAGCUAAUAAAGAAUGGAUUAAGCUACAGCUUUGAAGAACUCAUCUCAAAAGGACCCUGAAACCACUGUCUAAAAGCAAUAUUAUCAGCAUUAGAAGCUGAAAAAUUACACCAACAGAUCUAGUUGUUUCUCAAACCCGUAUGAACUUGUGAGAACUGCAGCAUUGCACAACAAGUGCUUCUGCAACUUCUGCUUGCUUAAAGGGAAGAAGUCCAAGUGAUGCUGUAUGCUAUACUGGGAAAUGACUUAUCUGGCAGCUGUAUAGUUUGAUUGUGUAUACUACUGCAAAAGAUCAGUUAAUUGGAGCUAAGCCAACCACCCUAUGAGCUCAUUGCCCUCCCUCCAAGCUUCUGCUUCUUCAAGACUUCAGAACAGUCCUGGCCAGAAUUUCCUGGUAAUGUGGUGAGGCAAUGCACUUUUGGUAAUAAUACUGAGCAUCCUGGAUGAGUAACUCACCAAAACCAUAGCUUUCGCUGCUGUGACUUCAUAUAAGACAAUCAUGUAAAAAUACAUCAUAAUGCUUUUGGACAAGUUUUUCAGCAAUUUCAGCCAGGCUCACAAACUGGAAUUUCUGACUCUUCCCCCCAAAAAAGACUCUACUGUCUACAUUUUUGUCUAACUGAACUUUUAUGGUGUAAAUCAUCCAUGGUGGUAAGAACAGUGAUGAAUCUAAGUUAACCUACUACCUUUGUAGAACAAAAUGACUGAUGUUGAACCAGGGACACCAGUUUUAGGAUUAAGAGGUACAGCAGUUUGCUUGGACCAUUGAGCUGGUUAUUCCUAUUUGUAACAACUGUUUUAGGAACAUCUGGAGAUGCACAGGAAGUUGGUUUACCUGUGGAAAAGGUGUUGGUUAACAAAGAUGUUUUUGCUGAAGCACAAACAGAUGGAGACUGGGGGAAAUGAUGUCACAGUGAAUUCAGCAUGGCAAAAUAGUGUUUCUCUGAAUGUUAUUUAUUUUUUGCUGGUUUGCUAAUGAGAGGUUUCUAGGUGAGAGAGUAGAAAGAGUAGAGAAGAAGUUUGGAGUGUUCACUGUAAUGAAAGACAUUCAUUGCAAUGAAAGGGGAUUUCUGACAUUAGUUUAUUUCUAGGCCAAAAGCAAUGGAGUAUGCUAUGAAAUUAAGGCCCCGUGAUUGUGUGCUUGGUUGUUUUGCUGGGUGUAAGUCAGCUCUCACAAGCCACUUAGAUUCAUUUCAAGGUUGUUACAAAUCUGUAGGAGUGAAUGCAUGUUGCUGAGUAAGCUGAGAGGCUUUUUUUUUUUUUAAAGAAACGGCAUAGCCCCAUUCCAAAUGUUGCUCUUGAAGGUGGCCUCAGAGAUAUUAGCCCAGAUUGAAGGCCGGUAGCAGCUCCUUCACAGUGAGCCCACACAGAUCCUAUUUUUGUGUCUAUUAGAGAACAGAUGUCAAGUGUAUGCAUCAGCAGAUUUAUCCAGACAUCCGUCAUCCCGAGCAGGAUGACUGGUGGUGACCUGAGGCCUGACAUCUGCCUGCUGCAGUGCAACUGAAAGACAUCAGCUUUCUUUGAGGAUGUGGAGACCACCUGAGCAGACCUGAAAUUACGAAGACAGGUGUCUGAGGCUUAACAGAUGAAAACCAAUUGCUGAAAAUAAAGGUCAGACCAUGGUAGAAAAGAGGUGACCUCUUUCUCAGCUCAGUUCACCAACAAUAUCUAUGGGAAACAGCUGUGACAGUUCCCUUCAGCACAAUAUCCACAGGUCCAAGCUGUUAUAACUGUAGUUAGUCUGCCUGGGCUACUGCUAUCUGCAAUGCUCUUCAUAGAAGUAAGCAUUCUGCCUGAGACUGAGCCAUGAGUGCAGUAAUUUUGGGCAAAUGUUGCAAAACUCAGAAGCAGCUCAAAAUCAUGAGAUGUGAACAAUCGUUAUUACUUGAAAGGUGAUUCAGCCUCUGGGUAAGCAAAGCCGUUAUCGGGCCCUUCUGAUCUGCCUUACUUUUCUUGCUUUGCUACAGAAGCAGAAGUCAGAUGGGGAAAGCUGAAUGUGCAUGAGUCUCCCUUUUGCCAUUAAUUUUUGGGAAGACUUGCAUGUUUUAGCUGCUCUUUGUGCCUUUGAAAGCAUCAUUCAAACAGCUUCUUAAUUAAAAUGGAGAAUCAGGCAAUAAAACAUUGUAAUCAGUGCCUCCGUUCGUGAUGUGUCUGAGGUGAUACGUGCUUUGUGUUCAUAGACAAUAGAACUUUGAAAACCAACAAAACAGCAGAAAAUGUUAUUUAUUUUUCUGUCCUGCUCAGUGACCUUUGCUAUUGGUGGAGCCUCUGAAGUCUGGCAGAGAAAAUGAAAUCCAGGUCUAGUGUGGCUAAUAUUCAACUCAACAGCAAAAGAUAGAUUUUACAUUCCUCUUUUCUUUAUGCAAAGGCUGUUUGUUGAGUUGACAUUGUGAAAUCAGUCUGGCUAGUUGUGAAUGAUGUAUGAAAGAGGAAAAAAUCCUGCCCAGAGCCCAAAUAAACAGGUGCUGCAGUAAGACCAAGGUAGUUGUGCUAAGCUAUCCUAUUUGCUGUGUCUGAGGCUGGAGGCAUUUCUGGUGGUCACCUGGCCAACCCCUGUCCCAGCAGUCACAUAGUUAGCUCAUGUCUUUACGUGUCCAAGAGUCUAUUAGUUUAGAUUUUGCUCAGAGAACAAGUAGGUAACGUAGAUGUGACUAAAAUUCAAAAUUCCACCAAUUUAUUCCUUCUCCCUUAGUAUUUUUCUCUAAAGAUGGGAGUAUUUGAAUAAUUACAUUAAUUGUUUUAUUUUAGCUGUAAUUCUAAUUAUAGCCUUAAUCUUCUUGAGGAGAAAUAACUAGGAGGUAGAUCAAAUUAUUAUUUAAAAUUGAAUGUACAAAACUUUGUAGUCAAUGCGGAAUUUUUCUCAUUUCAGACAUGAAUUUGACUUAAAAUCACCUUAAAUAAACAUAAUCAAUAUUCACUCUUUAUAUCUUGUUAUAUACAUUACUAUUUUAAUGUUUUUCCAUCCCUGGAGGUUUUCAAGGACGGUUGGAUGAGGCCCUGGGCAGCCUGUUCAAGUAUUAGAUAUGGAGAUUGGUGGCCCUGCCUGAGGCAGAGAGAUUGGAACUUCAUGAUCCUUGAGGUCCCAUUCAACCCAAGCCAUUCUGUGGUUCUAUAAUUCUAUGAUUUUUAGGAUUCAAAGCUUGCUUGGACUUCCACAUACCCUUUAUCCGUGAUGAAGGUCAAAUGACCCUCAGCAGGUCAUCAGAAAGGAAUCAUCAAGACAAGUGGAAGAUAUUUCACGCAGGAGUAACACUGCUUAAAAUGAUGCUCCGUUCUUUUUGCUGAAGUACAAUGAAGGUAAAACAGUGAAUCACUGAAGUCCAGGACAAGUGAAUUGCAACUUUGGAUUCUGAACAACCUAAUCUUAAUGUCAUUCAUCGAUCAUGAUAAGUAAUAUCUUGGUACUGUAUACAUCAGCAAAAUUUGUAGAUUACUACUUAUUACAGACAUUGAAAUGCCCAUUUUGAUACAUUUUUCAUAGGUAUAUACAUGCCUCUUGUGGAUUUUAUUUAUUCACACCUUCUGUCAGUGUAAUUGUGCCGUAGUUAAAGUACUUGUUUUUCCUUCAUUCUUAUCCAGCUCAAUAGAUCAUGAAGGUUAAAGUAACCUUAAGCUACGUUUUACAAUUCUUUCUAGUACAUAAUUAAACAUUAAAAAAAUCGACAUUUUAAAAGGUAGCAACAUUCAUUUUACUACUGGAACAGAUGCAACAUGAAUUUAUUUAGUUCUAAAGACUGCUCUUAUCGAUGCCUAAUUCAUUUCUUCACAAUGCAGAAAGAUAGAGAAGUACACUUUUCUCAAGGUUACAACCACCCUAAUUCGUUCCAGGUUUCUGACUUACAAGAAGUUACACUUGCACAUUCAGUGAUUGAUCACAAUUUGCCAGAACAAGAUAGAAUUCCCCAUCCAUUCCUCGAUUAUGAUUUUUAAAUGGAUUACAUAGUAUAAUCUGAUAUGUACAUACUGCUCUUACAUUUCAAGAGAAUCAAAUACAGGCACUUUAAAGACAUUAAAGUCUACAUCUUGGCUUAUACAAAUAACUUCUUCAAAUAUCAUGCUCCUCACACAUUAGAAGUGAAUUUUCUUCAAUUUAUUCCUUCAAUAAUUGUCUCUAGAAGUUAAGUGAAAUCCAAACUGAAAGCUCAUGAUUUAUAUGUUGUAUGUUGGCAUUGUUUGUCAGUAUCUGUUUCAGCGCCCUCACUGCCUCUGCUUUUAUGGUGCCAAACUUCAGCUUAACUUUUGUCCUGUGUAUUGGUGUUUCUGAAAAUAUUGCUAGAAUGAAAAACUGAGAUCAGUCACAAUGAGUCUACAUGCUAGAGGAUAGUCAGAGAUCUGUACUUAAGUUCCUUUUUUUACCAAUGCAUGUUUUAUGUUUGUAUGUAUUUCAUGGUGCAUUUCUCUGUUGUGCCUAUCAAUAGAGUACUUCAAACCGGGACUAUGUGUGCUGGUUGGGAUCACACCACUGAAUAACACUGGGUAAAGACUCCUCAAAGAAUACAAGAAUUGUCAGAAGAAGGAUGGUUUGAUGGAUGGAGUAUCAAAUCUAGAUGAGAGCAGAACUGGGAAGCAAGGGAAAAGAAAUCUUAUAGCAAGCGUUCAGGAAAGAACAUUAUUUAUCACAAUGAAAAGGAAAAUAGCUAUGAAAAAUGAGAUGAAAUUAGGAAAGAAAAAUGGUACUCUGCAACCAUUCUUGCUGUAGCUAAAGAUAUUUCAUUUUUUCCUAUUAUUAGUCAGGAACAGUCUAUGUUCAUUUUAAAUGUAUAAUUAUUUUUGUUAUAAUAGUUUUGUAUUUUAUUGCGUCAUCUCCUUUACAGAACACACAGAAUAUCAUAACAGGACUCUUCAAUGCCCUGGAUGAACAAUAUAUUUACAGGAUGGGAAAGUGUAGAUGUCUGCCUUUCCUCCUUUGAAUGGCACUACUGCCUGUGUACUGAAUAAGCAGGGCUGACGGGGUUCACAUUAAUAGACCUUCCUUUUAGAGAGAGUAGUUGUGUGUAUUUCUGAUAAACAAUUAAAGAAGCUGUUUGCCAAGUAUUUCACUGUGCAAUAAUAGAUAGUGAAGGUGGAAGGACUGGAAAAUGACAAAGCGUUUAUCAUGUAGUGAGAAAGCCUAUGUGGUUCAAGAGGAGGAAAUAAUUGCUCCUUUUCUUUCAGCAUUUAUUCAAGUCAAAUGCAUCAAUGGAUGUUGCUGUAAAAGAGAGGUGCCUGCUUUGUUUAGGUAGGACAGAGGAACCCAACAAUACUAUGGAGCAAAAUGAGAAAUAUUAAAUAUGAAAACACUAAUGAGCUCUGGGUUAGUGAAUUGUGUGCAGAACUGUAUUUACUGUCCAACAGUUUUUUUUUGCAUUGAAUAUAUUGACUGCUUGUCUGUAUCUGGAACUUAACGUUUUCCAGAUGGUACUUAAUAUAUCCUUAUUUAUUCCUCCUCAUCCAACAUUUUGACUUGAAAUGGAAAAACAAGCCUGAUGAUCUCCAAGCUGAAGGUGUGGUGGACCACUAUACUGCCUUGGCUGAUGUUCCUGUUAUUCUGAGUCCUUUUGUGGCUUUUGAAAAUCCAGAAUAAAGUUAAGUAAGCAAGAGACUUGACAGCCCACAUCAGAGCUGCCAACUCCAGCAAUGAGCCAGAUUUAGAAGCUGUUAUAUGAAGAAUCUACAGGACAUGAGAUUUAAAUGGUUUCUCUGAAUAAGUACCUUCUAAACUAGGGUCCUUGAGGGCAUGGAGAGACCCUCGAUGACAGGGUGGGAUUGUUUUUUCUUCACUUCACCGUUGCAGGCAGACAGCUGGGAGGACCAAGGAAGAGCUCUUGUUCUUUUGCCUGCUUGGAGGAGAAAGUCAUUAAGUGGAUUAUCUCACCGGAUAAAGGUAUGAAGGUAAGAGGAAGAAUGGUCAGAAGCCCUCCCACUGCUGUGGUCCUUCUGGUGAUGCCCUCAGCCAUCGCAUGCAGGAUCCAUACAAAAGGUGAUUCCACGGUAAUAUAUUCUGUGCUAGUUUCUGGCAGGAAACAAUAGAUGCAAUGUGGGAGCUUAAAGAAGAGAGAUGCUGGGAAGACAUCAUACCUUUUCUGACUGUUCCAUAUCACAUCACUCUGUUUGGAGAUACUGUGUUUCAUCUCCUACAAAGUAAAUUGCUGGCUGACAGCUGGAACCACCUCUACUAUAAAUUAUUGCACUCACAAGCAAGUUGGAUAUCUACCAUAGGAUCAUCAAACACAGAGGAGUUUGUGUUUACACUGCUGUAACCAAGCUGGGGGCUGGUUUCCAGAAUUACAGAGUCUUACAUAAAACAAAAUUUUCUCUUCAUUAAGUUCCAUGUUGACUGUCACAAAUCCUCCCUAUGAAUCCUUUCUAAUUCGUAUUUUGUGAGGGCGGGCUAGGACCCACAAAAAACAUUUACCCUAAUUCAUCUGCUGCGUUGUAAGGCUUUUAUUAGGCUUCACAAAUUUGAAUACUUUCAUCUGCGUUGUCAAGCUUCAUUCCCCACUGGUAUUUUUCCCUACAAAAUGUUGGUGAUGAAUAUUCACAAACCCCGGUGAGAGCUGUGCCAAAGACAUAGCUCAAAACAAUACAGCUGUAGCCAGAAAGCUGUACAGUGGGUGAACUGUUCUCAAUUCCUAUGCAUGUCUUCCAUCUCAAACCUUCAUCCUAUUUAAGUGCCUCAGGAAGAGAUAGCAAAGAAUCUCUUUCUCUUUUUUUUUUUCUGGAAAUCAAAUACAGAGGACUUGAAAGAGAAAAAGUUAAGUAUUGUAAGCAAUCCAGAAGGAGCAAACCAGGACCCACUUAUGAAUCUCCUCCCGUAAGGAUGGCUGAAAACCUCUAACUUGUAAGAAAACUGUGAAUGUCUGAAAAGUCUUCUGAUGUGAUACAUGUUGUGUCUAAUUUAGGUGCCUUCUGAUAGGGCUGACUGCAUGUGGAAAUAGGAGAAAGAGUAACUGGAUAAUAUUCUACUGCUAGAAGAGGCUGAGGCUGAUCUUCUUCUGCUUGAAGAUUGAUAUGUGUAGGACCUGUGUGGUCAAAACACCAUUAAAAUCAUAGUAAACAAAUAAUAAAUACAUGUUUGGGUCCCUUACCUGCAACAAGGUGAGUGAGAGGAUGAAAUUUAUGCUAAUUCUUGCAACAUUGCCUUUAAUUAUUGUGAGCCAAUGUCAUCCAUAGUAUAAUCAAAGUUAAAAUUGUGUUAGAAAUUGCUUGCCACUUUUUACUUCUCUGUAUGUAUGAGUCUAUACAACAGAAUUCUCAUAAUACCUUAGAGGGAAAAAAAAAAGCCAUCAGACAAGAAAUAAACGUGUCUUCCUCUUUCAUCUAAAUUUAACUAGAAAAGCAGUCUCAAAAAAAUUAGACGUGCUGAACUAUCCAUAGGAGAUUCCAAUCCAUUAUUAGCCUACUCACCCUGUUACUUAUCUUCAAACGCACACACCACCAACAGAAAGGAUUUAGGUUACAUUUAAGUAAUCCAAAUCUUGUAGGUAGUGGGUUUUAGUGAAACUGGAGCACUUGUUACUAUAAUUUAACUACAAAAAAACAGCAUUUAGUGAAGUAAGAGGUCUGACUUUAAUGCACAAAAGCAGGGAGUUUUGUGGCAGUAUCAGUAAGGCUGAAGUGUCAGUCUGGAUUUUCAGCCUUAAGUCUGAAUUUCCUUGGUUUUGUGGAUUUGUCAGAUGUUUAACAGAGCUUAAAUGUAAACUUUCUUCUUGACGACAUUCAAACCUCCACAAUACAGCCCUUUUAAAGAAGAGAAAAAAAAACUCUCACACAAACCAGGCAGAAUGACUAAAAUGGUGGGAUAUGUGAGGAACAGUUCAUUGUCCUGUGUGCUCCAAAGGGAUUUCACUUCUCUGUGCCUCAGUUUCCCAAACAAGAACCUGAAGAUCACAUUUACAGAUCUUGGAAAUGUCCUCAAUAAUGAGUCACUGUAAUAUUUGUGAAGUGGAUUAGCAUGCUUGAACGCAGAGUGUUAUGGAACAUUUCAGAUGGGAUUUUAAUUGCCAGUGACCAGGGAGGACCUCAACACAGAGUAUGUGUCAGCACAGUUCAUCCCUUCAGAGCAUCUUCAAUUAAAGUUGCUCAAGGAUAGGAGCUCUCAGAUUAUCAUUCUUGCCAGCCUGUUAAAGACUGAUAAAGGAAAAGGAGGACUGCACUUCUGCAAAAUGAAUAUUGGAUUAGAGGGAGCAUGUCUUGUUUUGUGUGUAUUGCACAAAUUGCAAUUUUCCAGAUUUUCCAGAUAGUCCAAAUUGUUUGCAAUACAAUUUCCUUUAUAAAGUGCACUAUAUAGAAGGAGGAAACAUCACUACAUGGAACAGAAAUGUGUUCUGGAAUGCCACAAAACCAUACUGUGAGCUGAAAAUGAAUUCAACAAUUACUGGGCUACAGCACACUUUUACAUUUAUGGCUUUGGAUGGGAGCUCAGAGUUAUCAUUUGUGCACGUUCUCUUGACAGCGUGCCAUGAGCUGCUCAGCCACUGAUUAACAGAGGUUACUGUGAGAGUCCUACCAAUUAAUAAAAAUAAAAAUCAAAAUUCAGUGGUCCAGCUGUCAUAGAUGGAGCUGCAUUUCUGAUGGCACAUUCAUUAGUAAAAGUGCUCUCAGUUACUACUUUCUAUGUUACAUCACGCUUGCUUGCUGAGAUAGAUUAUGAAGACAAAGUUCACUCGUUGGUGGAAUAAGUUACUCUAAUUUGAAUUUGAAAUGGAUGACAUCCCAUUAUUUAGCUUAAUCUAAAUUCAGAAAAAUAUGCAAUUAAAAGUGCUACAUUACCUAUACAAUUUAAAUCCUGAGCUGCCUGUAAAUAUCUAGCUCUGCGAGGUAAUAUUUGGAUCAUGUAUGAAAAUAUAAGAAAUAACCACUGAGGGCGACUAGACAGUAAAUGAUACAGAGGAUAUUAAAAAGAAUGAGAAAGUAUUUUAUUCCGGUGGAAAUCUAAUAAACAAGUACCAAGAAGGAGUAUGUCUAAUGAGAACUGAUGUAGGCGUUGAAAUACAUCACUGAUUCACUCACAUGCGAAACUUUACUUAUUUAUCAUAGUUUAUCAGAAAAGCUAUAGAGAGGAAGUCCCAAGGCACUGGCAAGGUAAUGAUGCUCUGUGAGAUGUGGAACCCCUGCAUGUUCUCAUGAGCAGUGCUGCUUCAUACAGGUGUGCCAGCAGUGCCUGACCAUCUGGGGCAAGACAAUGACUUGUGUUAUGAAUACUUCUUUGGGAAGUUCUUGGCAGAUUUAUUUCCUGCAACCAGACCUAGUCCUUCAGUUCAGGAGAUUAUUGCUUGCCCGAAGCUCAAGAGUUACAUUAAUUAUUCAGUGUUAACCAUUUGUGGACAAAAUCUUUACUUCCUUGUUCAUAUUUUUUAUACCUAAUGACAGAGUAAUGCUCUUUGGUGCUAAUAAAUGCAUGGAUUUUCUCCUGCAUUGUUCACUAUGAUGAAUGACAGACACUGUCAUUCUUUAUACUUUCAUUUCCAGAUAAAGCAUAUUUAUGAUUAUCUUUGAGCAGGUAGAAGCUUGUGUGCACAUUCUGCGUCCUGACACAACAUAAUGGUUAAACGCUUCAUGGACCUUUAAGACCUGUUACUUGGUGCAUAGCUGGAUAUGCAAGAGUUGGCUCAGUGGAUGCUAAUUUGAAAUCACUGCUCUCAAUUUUAUAACAGUAAGCAGUCAGCUAAUCUCACAAACAUCAGCCUUUGCAGAAGUCUUCCAUAUAUUUCCACCGCAAACUAGGAGUUUAAUAAGCAAUUAGUUGCUGAAAUGAUGCAUAGCUAUCUGUGGUCACCAUUUAAAGACAUUGCAACAAAGUCAAUUCAGAAGAAGAAAGUUGAGCUGGUGAAUAUUUCUAAGUGAAGAAAAAAAAAAACUUGAGCUACUUGUUGGAAAGGACAGCAACACAGCACACUCCCAUGAUGUCCUUGAGGAGUGGUGAUGGGAAACAAUAAAAAGACAAACACCAGCAGCAUUUUGUUCUGCAGAGGCUGGUAUGAAGUUAAUCAAAGCUUCCCAAAGACUUAUGUCCAAGGUCUGGUAAAUUUUCUUCUGGACCACUAAUUUUUCUGCUGUAACCUCUUCUUCUGCCACUCUAUCUCAGCUUCACCUCUCUUCCUGUUGUGCCUUCUCCCAGUCUCCCCUUCUCUUCCAGGUGGCAGUUUCUCUUUGCAGUCGAGGCGCCAGAUCCCAACAUGCCAGAGGUUGUGCUGAAAAUCAGGACUUGGGGCUCUUCCUUUGCUGAGAAGAUAAAGUGGCAACUCUUGUGAAAUCCCACCCCUGCUUCACCAGCUGAAUGAAGUCCAAAAACUUGAUGCUUCAAACAUUUCACAGAGAUGGAAAAAAUACGAGAGCCAAAAAGAUUGUUAAAAAGAAUCCACAGUGAGGAAGACGGGAAUGCUAUCUGUGGUUCUCAUAUGAGGAAGAGCAAGAACAGAUGCAUUUUUUCCGCACACUCGGAACCUCAACUUGCAAGAAGUAGUGAAGGUUUGUGUAGAACUGGGGAUGACAACUGAACGCAAGUAGUCACCAGCAAAACACAGAAAACAUGACUGUUGGUGCCACAGCUUUGCCAGCUGGUAAGGGACUUUUCCAUGUCUCCACCUUGGAGAGAAGAGUGUGGUGUGCUCUGAUUUGAAUGAAGAAACAGGAUCAUUGUGGUCUGUUUUCCCCAUCCUUUGAGCCAUCCCAAUGCAGGAACCAAGAGAAGAAAUCUCAUUCUUUCUCUUCUGCCCUUGAAAAAGGAAUAGGUAAAAUUGGACUGUAGUCUUAGAAAAUCAAACCUCGCCUUGUGGAUGAAUCACUGCCAUUGAUGCUGGGAGAAGGGAAUGAAUAUCCCUCAAACAAAGGAUUUUAUAGGAUGCUAAUAUACAGGAUAGAGGAUAUGCCAAAAAUCUGUGUGGGUCAAAAAGUGACUGGAAGGAAGAAAAGAAUCCACCAAAGAAAAUCCUUAGAGGAAAAUUCUGUCACAUAGAAAGAUUUCACCUCAGCUUCAGCGGAUCCUUGAACCACAAAUAGCUGCAGGCUGGGAAAGUAUUCUGGGGAAUAUGGUUGUGUUCUGUAAAUAUUGGCUGUGGGCAAUGUUGAAGGACGUGAGACUACGUGCAUGUUCAUUUUGAGCUGGACCAGCCAUUCUUGUGUAUCUGUUAUUUGUGUGUUUUCAAAAAGAAAAAAAAAAGAAAAAAAAAGAAAAGCUCUCUGAGAGACACUUCUCUCUUUCUAUUUUUUGUUAUUCCAAUCCAGUCUGUUUUCGGGGCCAGGGAGGGAGACACUGGAGGAUCUCAGUGCCCCUAGGCAGAUGGCGAAUGAGGGAGAAGUGCCUGCGGGGCUGAGGCUGGCGGCGUCUCUUUCAGACCAACAUGCCUUGGUCCCCCUGCAGCUGGGAAGAGCACAGAGCUUGUUAGUAAGGUACAGGUGUCAGCAGAUAAUGAACAGGAUUGUUGUAAAAAAACAAAACAAACAAAAAAACAUGGAAUAAGAAACAAUUUAUUUAUGAUGUAUUGACAAGGAUAUGGAAAAAAUCCCAAGAGACCAUAACAGGAAGACACAAUAUCAUGGCUAAUAACAUGCUAAAUAAAUUUUAUUUUAUGAUGAAACCUCCCUAUGACUGGAAAGGUUGACGUUCAAAACAAUUGUGACCUGUGUGCAGCACAUGUAGCAACAGGCAUGGCUCCUGCCUUCUCGCGGUGGGGCUGUCCAAGAAGCACAACGAUGCCUUUGGGAAAUACAGCUGCAGGCAUGAGCUGUGUUUUCCCCAGUAGAUCAAUUUUUCUAACUUUAGAACAAUGAAAGAGGCAUAACAUAUUAUAAAUUGAAAUUACCCUGCAUGGUUUUAACUGUGCAGUUGGCAAAGGUCAUUAAGUAAUGUCAUUCCCAGCCAUACGCCACAGGGAGCAAUCUAUCAUAUAUUAUCUAGCAUUCUGAUGGAAGUAAAAAAUGAUUAAUUUUUACCAUCUCAUGUAUAAUUUACUUAUUAAUGUUCCUUGCGAGACAAUCUGGUCUUGAUUAUUUGGCUAAUGCAUACUGAAUCUGAGCUUUGUAUUUUUCUUUGAAGAGAUUAGGGCAGUUAUUGUUUUUUUUUGCGAACCAUGGACAUUUGAGAUCCAGAGUAAUAAAGUAGGUAUUGAAUAGCAUUCAAUAGAAGAGAAAGAAAAAUAUAAUGCUGAAAUGGAUCAUGACUGUUCAGGAUGCUUAUGAGAUUCUCACACAUCCCAUCCCAAAGUGCAAAAGUAUCCAUUCACCAAAGCCUAAACUGAGAUGUCUUUAGCUUUAUUUUACUUUCUCUAGUUUUUGUUCAAGCUCUAAAAAACAUUUCAUUUUAUACUUGAAUAUAAGCAUGGUUUAGUCAGAUUACUUGAGUUUUCAUCAAAACAAGCAUGUAAUAAAUUAGGACUUUUUCAUUUUAAAACCUGAAAUGCAUCCUGGUUGAUAUGAGGACAAGGACUGUGUGGUUGCUGAAGUAUGUUGUCAGUUUUUGGCCUUCAAGGGCUAAAUCAUGUUUUGAGAUAAAUGAUGCUCUUCAAAGUAAUCCAUAUUGAGUACUGUGAGUUCUACAUAGUUUUAGUUAGAGUUCAUUUAUAAUAAUAAGAAGCACCUUAAAUUUAAUAUUAAUUUUUUUUAGCUGUUGUUCAUAAGGCAGCUUUAAAAUAUAAAAUACCUUAUUUUAUAUUUGUAUUGUAAUAAAAGCCACUGAAAGACUAGGAGAAGACACACAUCUGUAAAUGAUUAUAUGAUCUGGCAUCAAUACCUCUCAGAAUUUGUCUUGUGCUGUUUCAUAUUUUGAACUUUCACUUUGCAAUUACACUGUCCCUCUGUCAGGCCUGGCAGAUCAUGCUUCAUGUGCAUGAGGUUUAACUCUGACUUCCACUUCAAGGAUACUAAGUUAUUUUUUGUUUCUUUAGCAUUUUACCCAUACCUGAUUUCACUAAUGGCUUAAAAAAAAAAAAAAAAAAAAAAAAGUUUCUGCUUUUUUUUUUUUUUUUCCCUGAUAAAAAGGUCUAGAUCUGUAUCAGUAAAAACAUAUUUACAUAGUUAUGCUGAAUAAUCAGUAGCGUCAGCCUCUUUGGAAAAGAAUCAAAAUGAUGUCUUUCCAAAUGACACAGAUCAGCAAUGCUUCAAAAGAAGAAUUUGUUGAAUUUCUACCAGGAAGUUUUCUCAUGUCUCUCCCACUCCUUAAAUCAAAUAUUACACAGCACCAAAGUAUGUCAGCCCCAGCAGUCCCGUAAGAUGAAAUGAAAAGCGUAGUUAUCUGCAGAACCUUCAAAACACAUGAAAAAGAAUUCAUGGUUGAGGUUGUUCAAAGGAGGCUAAAGGAGAGGAGGUGGAAGCAGUUGGGUGCAUCCUGCCCUGAAAAUCCUCAUCUACAGGUUGCAGUACUUUUGAUAAUGAUAUUACUCUAUCUUCAGGAGCAGAUUAAUUAUGUGCAGUUCCCAAAAAGAUUUCUUGUACUUACUUUUUUACUGCAUCCGAAGUGGAGAACUGACUGGAGACCCCACGGCCAUCUGAUUUCACCAGUAUGCAAAGAAUAUUUUGUACCAUGAAUAGUGUUUAUCUUAGAAAAAGAAUGAUCUACAUAAGGGAAUGUUGAUUUUCUUAGAGCUGCUAUCAAUUUUUUAAUUUAAAAUAAUACUUCUCUUCAAUUUUUAUUGAUAACUGUCAUCAACUGCAUAUGCAGAAUGGGUCAGGUUGUGUAGAUUUUGAAAAAUUUUACUAAGUGUGAAAAGUUUUGUGGUUUUUUUUUUUCUGUGGCCUAACACUGUACUCUCCAGCUCAUUAUCUGAUCUCCUGUUGUCAAAGCCAAAGAAUAUCCCAUCAGCCAUUUUUCAUUGCUCCAACACAUCUACAUUUUCAUGUUCUUUCUUCCCAUUAAUGCUUUUUUGUUGUUGUUGUUGUUUUUUUUCCCAAAGAUAUGAUAUUCUCACACACUUGAAGUUCAGUCUCAUUCACAUUUUUAAUGUCUCUGAUUUUCUUCUUAUUUUAUUUCUGAUCAUCUGGUUUCACUGGUGGUGUUCACUGCUCACUCCUUUCCCCCAUAUCAUUAAUGAUGAUACUACAACUGGAAAUAAUUUAGCACUCUCAUGCACUUGUAGUUGUGUUUGUGAUACAUAUGUAGGUGAUAUUUACUUCUCAUUGGAGCUUCUUCAGUAGGAGCUGUGACACCAACACCAGUAAGUGUUGGCUUAAGUCUGACCCAUAAAUUAUCUGUUUCCACUUCUUUUAGAAGUAUGUUUUUACAUUGGCUUGUGGGCAAAGUAAAAGCCAACGAAACAGCACUCCUUUGUCUGCCUACCUCUGUCUUUCACAUGUAGACACAGCCCUUUUCUGACUGACAUAUGUGAGCAGGUGAUGGAGACAAGAGGCAGACUGUAGAGACGGUUGUAACUUUAUACUCUAUUUAUCCUACUUCUAUUCUCUCUUAGCUAGGUCCAGCAUGAAGCUCCAAAACUUCUAAACCCUGCAGAUAGAUGGUCUUCAGAAUAUGCAGUGGAGUUUAUCCAGUUUAACUCAGCCCAGCUGAUGCCAGCAGGUGGAGUUUCGCUGUGAGGUUUGUAAAGCUGCACCAUUCCCACUGGUCACUGAGGUCCUAACCAGUGCACUGCUGUGUGCAUGAAGUCCUGCUCUUAUCUGCUCAGUCUGGUAACUGAAAGUGCAAAGUGGCAAUUAGGUUCACCAUUAGCCCAUCAGCAAGUGCACAUUCAGGAUCAGAUCUACGUUUUGCAUGCCCAAGGCUGAGAGGUGCCAAUGGCUCUCCGUUACUGCUGGACAAGCAGUUAUGAAAAGUUGGCAUCCACAUAGAUCCGUGGCCGUGACAUGAGGAAACCUCCGCCACUUUGGCAAACAGCAUGCAAGUCCAGCAUAGGCCAUGGUGGAUAAUUGUAUUGUCCUCAUCGGGAUUGUAACGGGGCUACCAGAUGAAUAUCCAGCUGCUUCCAUCCCUUUGAAGGAACAGUACACAAACCUGCAGCCUUAGCUCCCACCCUUACUACGGAAGGGGCUCAGCAUUCAGUCUGGCAUAGCAGCAGAUUGGCAAGGUGACAUAACAACUAUUUGCAAGUCUACGUGCUGUCUGAAGUUACCAAAGUAAAUUGCACAGCAGUCUGCUUGGUAGUCCCUAAGAAGAUAAAGUGGUCAGUGCUGCUCUGCUUUGAAAAUAUCAGCCCUGCUUUGUGCAGAAUAUUGCAGACUGGCUGAAAUGUUGCCCAAGCAACAUCCACUCUUCAGCUGUACUUCUCACAGUGGCUUAAGCUGAAGAAGGAACAAGACCCAAGGAAGUGUUUGGAAAUCUCUCUUGCAUCCUCCCAGUCUGAGACCAACCAGAGCAGCUCCUGUUUGCAUUGGAUUUGUACAUCGUUGUCAUUGGAAGAAGAAACAUUCCAGUGUGAGAGGGAUCCUCAGCUGGCAAAGCUGUAUCUAGCAGAGGGCUUUGAACAAGCCCCGUGCAACUGAGAAAGAUGUUGGCUGAAAUGAACUGGAGGUCUUCCUCUUUAAUAUGGAUGUUAUGCUUGGUGCCAUGCAGACAGCGCUGGCAGGAGGACGAUUUCAGUCUCUGCUACAUCAAUAAAAACAAGGGGUUGUUUAAACUUGGCGUUGACACAAAUAAAAUAAAAACUGAGCUGUUA
ensembl:lncRNA